rnacentral:tRNA from 1 species
GCCUGGGUGGCUCAGUCGGGUAAGUGUCUGACUUCGGUUCAGGUCGUGAUCUCACAUUCAGCGGGUUCAAGCCCCGCGUCAGGCU